rnacentral:rRNA from 1 species
UACGUAGGGGGCAAGCGUUGUCCGGAAUCAUUGGGCGUAAAGCGCGUGUAGGCGGCUUGGUAAGUCUGCUCUGAAAGCCCGGGGCUCAACCCCGGGAGGCGGGUGGAUACUGUCAAGCUCGAGUCCGGAAGAGGAGUGUGGAAUUCCUGGUGUAGCGGUGAAAUGCGCAGAUAUCGGGAGGAAUACCUAUGGCGAAAGCAGGCUACUGGACCAUCACUGACGCUGAUCUGCGAAAGCUAGGGGAGCAAACAGG